GAAAAGGAAAGUUAAUAGACUCAAGAGCCUCAUGAGAAUCAAGCAAAUACAAUAGCAAGUUUGAAACAAUCAAAGAAAGAAAACCACUUUAAGGCAUGAUGAACAUGUUCAGAAAACUUUGGAACUUAAGCAAGAUCAUAAGAAAGAAAGGAUGCGGGUUUAACAGAAUAGGUGAAUAUGCUUAACACAAACAGAGUUCAGAAAAGCAGAACAUCAAGAAACUCAGUAGUAAGCACACAUGGUAGAGGAGAGGGGAAAAUCUUAACAGAGAUUAACCAUAUGAGCACACAUAUAAAAGAAAAGAAAGAAAAUACAUGCGUAAUAGAGAAGGUAAAGGCACGAGUGUAAUACAGAUAAACACUUAAAAUAAAAGAAUGGCAGAAAUCAGAAACCCUAAUUUGAAAUCAAAUGAUUUUAAAAGGAAAUUUGGGAAAUAAACUUAAAACAUCAAAUAUAGCAUAUAUCUAGCAUAGAUCCGGCAAAUAAGCAAAGAAAUAAGCUUGAAUAGUUUAGGGUUUCUGAGAAACCCUAGAAAUAAGAAAGGAUUGGAAGAACAAGAUCAAAUCUUGAGUCGGAAUGGUCAGGAAUCAAGCUUCCAGUGCUUGAAUAUGCUGGAGCGUGGCCGGAAAACCAUUGAUCUACAGAUCCAAAACGGAUCGGAGAUAGGACCAUCGAGGUCAAACCUCUAUACUUCGAGUAGUUUCGGCUUAAGGGUGAGAAAGGGUGAGCACAUACCAUCCGUGGCCUGAGAAGCCAUGGAUUCCGGUGAGAGGGCGGUUGAAGAUAGAAGGAGCUUACUAGGAUUUCAAGAACUUUCGAGAGAUUUUUGAGAGAGGAGAGUGUUUGAAG
rnacentral:lncRNA from 1 species